UACGUAGGUGGCGAGCGUUGUCCGGAUUUAUUGGGCGUAAAGCGCGCGCAGGCGGUGCGGUAAGUCUGUCGUGAAAUCUCCCGGCUCAACUGGGAGGGUGCGGUGGAGACUGCCGGACUGGAGGCACUCAGAGGCCGGUGGAAUUCCCGGUGUAGUGGUGAAAUGCGUAGAUAUCGGAAGGAACGCCGGUGGCGAAAGCGACGUGCUGGACCUCUUCUGACGCUGAGGCGCGAAAGCUAGGGGAGCAAACGGG
rnacentral:rRNA from 1 species